GUUGAUCAGCGGGGCAGCGGCUGGGGUAAUACGUAGGGUGCAGGCGUUAUCCGGAAUGAUGGGGCGUAAAGGGGUCGGAGGCGGGUCGUCGCGUCCGGUGUGAAAGUCCAUCGCUUAACGGUGGAUCCGCGCCGGGUACGGGCGGGCUUGAGGGCGGUAGGGGAGACUGGAAUUCCCGGUGUAACGGUGGAAUGUGUAGAUAUCGGGAAGAACACCAAUGGCGAAGGCAGGUCUCUGGGCCGUUACUGACGCUGAGGAGCGAAAGCGUGGGGAGCGAACAGGAUUAGAUACCCGUUAGUC
rnacentral:rRNA from 1 species